GAUGAACGCUGACAGAAUGCUUAACACAUGCAAGUCGAUGGGGAAGUGGUUCUUGCACCAUGGCAACCAUGGCGGACGGGUGAGUAACGCGUAAGGGACUUACCUGCAGGACUGGGAUAACAGGGGGAAACUCCUGACAAGACCGGAUAAUGUCAUGGAGCUGCAUGGCUUUAUGAUGAAAGGAGACGCCUGCGGAGAGCCUUGCGUCCUAUUAGCUAGUUGGUGAGGUAAUGGCUCACCAAGGCGAAGAUAGGUAGCCGGCCUGAGAGGGUGGACGGCCACGAGGGGACUGAGAUACGGCCCUUACUCCUACGGGAGGCAGCAGUGGGGAAUAUUGGACAAUGGGGGCAACCCUGAUCCAGCACUUCUGUGUGCACGAAGAAGGUUUUCGGAUUGUAAAGUGCUUUCAGCAGGGAAGAAGUAAGUGACGGUACCUGCAGAAGAAGCGACGGCUAAAUACGUG
rnacentral:rRNA from 1 species